rnacentral:rRNA from 1 species
AAGGAUUAACGAAAUUCUCCCUAUAUUAAUUUUACUGUCUAAAAUCUGAAUUUCAAGUGAAGAUGCUUGAAUUAAUUUGAAAGACAAGAAGACCCUGUAGAGUUUUAAUAAAUAAUUUAUUCCUUAAUUAAUUUAUUUUAAUUGGGGCGAUUAAGGAUUUAUAAUUACAUCCUCAACCAAACUACGAAAAUUUUUCUAAAAACCAAUCCUAUUGAAUUAGAACUUAAAAUAAACUACCUCAGGGAUAACAGGCUUAUCUUCCUAAAGAGUCCAAAUUAACAGGAAGGUUUGGCACCUCGAUGUUGGCUUAGAGUAACCUAAUAAAGCAAAAAUUA